ensembl:snRNA U1 U1 spliceosomal RNA
AUGCUUAAGGAGGACUUUUAGGUACCAUGAUCACAAAGGUAGCAUUCCCAGGGCGAGGCUUAUCUAUUGCACUCCAGAUAUGCUGACCCCUGUGAUUUCCCCAAAUGUGGGAAACUUGACAGCAUAAUUUGUGGUAGUGGGCAACUGCAUCUGCACUCUCCCC